rnacentral:rRNA from 1 species
AACCGGGGGAUUAAGUUGUACUGUAUGGUAAAAACACAGUUAGACAAAUAAACGAGGUUAACUCACGACACUAUUGGGAGGUAGAAUUCGAACAUAGGUAAAUAUUCUUGAUAAAACCAGCGUGUUGAAGCUGUGAUAACUUUGAGGGAAACUAGGAUUAGAUACCCUACUAUUCAUAGACGUAAAUAAGAGAGUUCUACCAGAGUACUAAGAAUAAAAAAUUUAAAACUCAAAGGGCUUGGCGGUGUUCUAGACUACUUAGGGGAACCUGUCUCAUAAUCGACAAUCCACGUUAGACCUGACCUUUCUUUGCAUUCAGUUUGUAUACCGUCGUCGCCAGGUAACUUUUAAGAUAUAAACAGUUAGCUAUCUAAAUACUUGAAUUAAGACGUCAGAUCAAGGUGCAGCCAACAGAAAGGUGCGGAUGGGUUACAAUUAUAUAUUUAUAAUUACAGAUAAUGACUCUAAAAAUAGUUAAGAAGGAGGACUUAAAAGUAAAAGAAAUUAUAUAAACGCUUUGAAUAAAGCUCUGGAACGUGC